rnacentral:rRNA from 1 species
GAGACUCUGUGCGCGUGCAUAUCAAUAAGCGGAGGAAAAGAAACUAACAAGGAUUCCCUUAGUAACGGCGAGUGAAGCGGGAAGAGCUCAAAUUUGAAAUCUUCAAGGUUCUACCUUGACGAAUUGUAGUUUAUAGAAGUGUUUUCUGUUAGUAGAGUGGCAAAAGUUCUUUGGAAUAGGACAUCAUAGAGGGUGAGAAUCCCGUAUUUGGUCAUUCUUUCUAGCGUUGUGAUACACUUUCAACGAGUCGGAUUGUUUGGGAAUGCAGUCCAAAAUGGGUGGUAAAUUUCAUCUAAAGCUAAAUAUUGGCGAGAGACCGAUAGCGAACAAGUACCGUGAGGGAAAGAUGAAAAGAACUUUGAAAGGAGAGUUAAACAGUACGUGAAAUUGUCAAAAGGGAAGCGUUUGACACCAGUGUUGUUUUUCCGAAAAUCAAUUACGAAUGUUUUGUUUUUGAGGAGUUAUGGACUUCAUCGGCUUGCUUCUCUCUUUACGAAACUUUCUUAAUGCACUUUUCGGUUAACAAGUCAACAUCAAUUUCUUUUGUUGUAAAAGGGUACUGAGGAAGGUGGCUUUCUUUUCGGAGAAAGUGUUUAUAGCCUUGUAGCCUCUGCAAUCGGAGAGAUUGAGGUCUGCAGCGUAGAUCCUUCGGGGUUAGAUACAGUUUGUGCUAAGUUAUAGCUUUUCAUAGACAACUUGUUGACUAUGUUUAGUCUUGUAGCUUACUCGCUUAUGCUAUUUUACCUACGCUUAGGAUGUUGACAGCAGUAUAGACUGU